GAUGAAGAACGUAGCGAAAUGCGAUAAGUAAUGUGAAUUGCAGAAUUCAGUGAAUCAUCGAAUCUUUGAACGCACCUUGCGCUCUUUGGUAUUCCGAAGAGCAUGCCUGUUUGAGUGUCAUGAAAAUAUCAACCUUGACUUGGGUUUUGUGCUCUAGUCUCGGCUUGGAAUUGGGUGCUUGCCGCUUUUACGAGCGGCUCACCUUAAAUGUAUUAGCUGGAUCUGUCUUUGAGACUUGGUUUGACUUGGCGUAAUAAGUAUUUCGCUAAGGACAUUCUUCGGAGUGGCCUCGUUUCUAGGACGCUUGUCCGCUUUCCAAUACAAGUUCCACCUCGUGGACAUGACUUUUUAUUAUCUGGCCUCAAAUCAGGUAGGACUACCCGCUGAACUUAAGCAUAUCAAAAGCGGAGGA
rnacentral:misc_RNA from 1 species